UACGGAGGAUGCAAGCGUUAUCCGGAUUCAUUGGGUUUAAAGGGUGCGUAGGCGGAAUAAUAAGUCAGUGGUGAAAGCCUGCGGCUUAACCGUAGAAAUGCCAUUGAUACUGUUAUUCUUGAGUAUAGUUGAGGUGGGCGGAAUGUGUAAUGUAGCGGUGAAAUGCUUAGAUAUUACACAGAACACCAAUUGCGAAGGCAGCUCACUAAGCUGUUACUGACGCUGAGGCACGAAAGCGUGGGGAGCAAAC
rnacentral:rRNA from 1 species